UGCCUACGGGGGGCUGCAGUGGGGAAUUUUGGACAAUGGGCGCAAGCCUGAUCCAGCAAUGCCGCGUGCGGGAAGAAGGCCUUCGGGUUGUAAACCGCUUUUGGCAGGAACGAAACGGUGUCCGCUAAUACCGGGCGCUAAUGACGGUACCUGCAGAAUAAGCACCGGCUAACUACGUGCCAGCAGCCGCGGUAAUACGUAGGGUGCGAGCGUUAAUCGGAAUUACUGGGCGUAAAGCGUGCGCAGGCGGUUGUGUAAGACAGGCGUGAAAUCCCCGGGCUCAACCUGGGAAUGGCGCUUGUGACUGCACGGCUGGAGUGCGGCAGAGGGGGAUGGAAUUCCGCGUGUAGCAGUGAAAUGCGUAGAUAUGCGGAGGAACACCGAUGGCGAAGGCAAUCCCCUGGGCCUGCACUGACGCUCAUGCACGAAAGCGUGGGGAGCAAACAGGAUUAGAUACCCCAGUAGUC
rnacentral:rRNA from 1 species